GUCGUCAGCUCGUGUCGUGAGAUGUUGGGUUAAGGUCCGUAACGAGCGCAACCCUUGUCCUUAGUUACCAGCACGUUAUGGUGGGCGACUCUAAGGAGGACUGCCGGUGACAAACCGGAGGAAGGUGGGGAUGACGUCAAGUCAUCAUGGCCCUUACGGCCUGGGCUACACACGUGCUACAAUGGUCGGUACAAAGGGUUGCCAAGCCGCGAGGUGGAGCUAAUCCCAUAAAACCGAUCGUAGUCCGGAUCGCAGUCUGCAACUCGACUGCGUGAAGUCGGAAUCGCUAGUAAUCGUGAAUCAGAAUGUCACGGUGAAUACGUUCCCGGGCCUU
rnacentral:rRNA from 1 species